GAACGAACGCUGGCGGCGCGUUNUAAGCAUGCAAGUCGUGGGGUAGAGCACCUUCGGGUGCUUGAGACCGGCGGACGGGUGAGUAACACGUAGGUAAUUACCUGAGGGUUGGGGAUAGCCCAUGGAAACAUGGGGUAAUACCGAAAAUACGUCUUAUUUUACAUAAGUGAGAUAAGGGAAAGGUGCUUAGGCACCGGCCCCGGAUAAGCCUGCGGCUCAUUAGUUAGUUGGUGGGGUAACGGCCUACCAAGGCAACGAUGAGUAGCCGGCCUGAGAGGGUGAACGACCACACUGGGACUGAGACACGGCCCAGACUCCUACGGGAGGCAGCAGCUAAGAAUCUUCCGCAAUGGACGAAAGUCUGACGGAGCGACGCCGCGUGUGUGAUGAAGGCGGAAACGUUGUAAAGCACUUUUCCUGGGGAAGAAUAAGGUGAGGAGGUAAUGCCUCAUCGAUGACACGAACUAGGGAAUAAGCCCCGGCUAAUUACGUGCCAGCAGACGCGGUAACACGUAAGGGGCAAGCGUAGUACGGAAUUAUUGGGCGUAAAGGGCGUGUAGGCGGACUGGUAAGUCUGGUGUGAAAGACCGCAGCUUAACUGCGGGACCGCGCUGGAAACUAUCAGGCUAGAGUCUAAGAGGGGGAAC
rnacentral:rRNA from 1 species